rnacentral:rRNA from 1 species
UACGGAGGGUCCGAGCGUUAUCCGGAUUUAUUGGGUUUAAAGGGUGCGCAGGCGGGAUGUUAAGUCAGUUGUGAAAGUUGGACGCUCAACGUUCAAAUUGCAAUUGAAACUGGCAUUCUUGAGUGCAGUGGAGGUAAGUGGAAUUCGUGGUGUAGCGGUGAAAUGCUUAGAUAUCACGAAGAACUCCGAUUGCGAAGGCAACUUGCUAUACUGCAACUGACGCUCAUGCACGAAGGUGUGGGUAUCAAACAGG